rfam:Gossypium raimondii Chr03_contig_66, whole genome shotgun sequence.
UGUUAAAAAUUUCAUUUAUUUGUAUUGUUAAAGUUGGCAUGAUUGACGGAAUAACCAGAUAAUGUCGCAUGUACCUCAUGCUGAUGUACGGGGACUAGUUUUUAACGGUUGAAAUGAGUGAAAUUUUUAACG